rnacentral:rRNA from 1 species
AUUGAACGCUGGCGGCAUGCCUUACACAUGCAAGUCGAACGGCAGCACGGGAGCAAUCCUGGUGGCGAGUGGCGAACGGGUGAGUAAUAUAUCGGAACGUGCCCAGUCGUGGGGAUAACGUAGCGAAAGUUACGCUAAUACCGCAUACGAUCUAAGGAUGAAAGCGGGGGACUCGCAAGAGACCUCGCGCGAUUGGAGCGGCCGAUAUCAGAUUAGGUAGUUGGUGGGGUAAAGGCUCACCAAGCCAACGAUCUGUAGCUGGUCUGAGAGGACGACCAGCCACACUGGAACUGAGACACGGUCCAGACUCCUACGGGAGGCAGCAGUGGGGAAUUUGGACAAUGGACGCAAGCCUGAUCCAGCAAUGCCGCGUGCAGGAUGAAGGCCUUC